CCAUGCAUGUCUAAGUAUAAGCAAUCUAUACGGUGAAACUGCGAAUGGCUCAUUAAAUCAGUUAUCGUUUAUUUGAUAGUACCUUACUACUUGGAUAACCGUGGUAAUUCUAGAGCUAAUACAUGCUAAAAGGCCCGACUUCGGAAGGGUCGUAUUUAUUAGAUAAAAAACCAAUGCCCUUCGGGGCUCCUUGGUGAUUCAUAAUAACUUAACGAAUCGCAUGGCCUUGUGCCGGCGAUGGUUCAUUCAAAUUUCUGCCCUAUCAACUUUCGAUGGUAGGAUAGUGGCCUACCAUGGUUUCAACGGGUAACGGGGAAUUAGGGUUCUAUUCCGGAGAGGGAGCCUGAGAAACGGCUACCACAUCCAAGGAAGGCAGCAGGCGCGCAAAUUACCCAAUCCCGACACGGGGAGGUAGUGACAAUAAAUACUGAUACAGGGCUCUUUUGGGUCUUGUAAUUGGAAUGAGUACAAUUUAAAUCCCUUAACGAGGAACAAUUGGAGGGCAAGUCUGGUGCCAGCAGCCGCGGUAAUUCCAGCUCCAAUAGCGUAUAUUAAAGUUGUUGCAGUUAAAAAGCUCGUAGUUGAACCUUGGGCCUGGCUGGCCGGUCCGCCUCACCGCGUGCACUGGUCCGGCCGGGCCUUUCCUUCUGGGGAGCUGCAUGCCCUUCACUGGGUGUGUCAGGGAACCAGGACUUUUACUUUGAAAAAAUUAGAGUGUUCAAAGCAGGCCUAUGCUCGAAUACAUUAGCAUGGAAUAAUAGAAUAGGACGUGUGGNNCUAUUUUGUUGGUUUCUAGGACCGCCGUAAUGAUUAAUAGGGAUAGUCGGGGGCAUCAGUAUUCAAUUGUCAGAGGUGAAAUUCUUGGAUUUAUUGAAGACUAACUACUGCGAAAGCAUUUGCCAAGGAUGUUUUCAUUAAUCAGUGAACGAAAGUUAGGGGAUCGAAGACGAU
rnacentral:rRNA from 1 species